GGAGGUGUAGCUCAGCUGUGGAGCAUUUGCCUAGCAUACAUGAGGCCCUGGGUUCAAAUCCCCAGCACCACCA
rnacentral:tRNA from 1 species